rnacentral:misc_RNA from 1 species
GAAAUGCGAUAAGUAGUGUGAAUUGCAGAAUUCCGUGAAUCAUCGAAUCUUUGAACGCACAUUGCGCCUUUCGGUAUUCCGGAAGGCAUGCCUGUUCGAGAGUCAUUGACAAACCUUUCAACUCCCUUUUUUGAUCGAUUUCUUCUAGGGACUUGGUUGUGGUGGAAGAGGAGAGGAAAACAUCUGUAAGAUCCUCCUCCCCGCCAAAACUCAGAGGCGGGUCCGUACCCAUCAGCUGCACGAGGCGUUGUAAAUGCUGUCCAGCAGUUUUCGCCAGCGGCCGGUGAUACAUUGGGCUUACAGCCGUCAUUGAACCCCAUUAUUCAAAGGUUGACCUCGGAUCAGGUAGGGAUACCCGCUGAACUUAA